UCCCAAUUGCAAAAGUUUGGUUGAGGUUGAGCUUCCUGGAUUGGAGAGUCUUGAAUGUGUUGAGAUAAGAAAUUGCAGUGGUUUGAGGGUUCCUUGAAUUCAAAAUUGGUUCAAGGUUAGUUAAGUUAAAUAUAUUCCC